rnacentral:rRNA from 1 species
UACAGAGGUCCCAAGCGUUGUUCGGAUUCACUGGGCGUAAAGGGUGCGUAGGUGGUGAGGUAAGUCGGAUGUGAAAUCUCCGAGCUCAACUCGGAAAUGGCAUUGGAAACUACCUUGCUCGAGGGUUGGAGGGGGGACUGGAAUGCUUGGUGUAGCAGUGAAAUGCGUAGAUAUCAAGCGGAACACCGGUGGCGAAGGCGAGUCCCUGGACAACUCCUGACACUGAGGCACGAAAGCUAGGGGAGCAAACAGG